UUAAACUUUCCUUGUUCAGGUGUCCCGACGGCCGUCGCCCGAGGGAUGAAACGGGAAGCCGGUGCGUGGUCCUGCCACCAUUCCGGCGCUGCCCCCGCAACGGUAGGCGAGCACAUGCGCGGCCAACGCCACUGAGCCCAAGGCUCGGGAAGGCGCCGCACAGGACGAUGGAGAAAUCGUCGCUCGCAAGCCCGGAGACCGGCCCGGACAUGACUGCUGGC
rnacentral:ncRNA from 2 species